rnacentral:rRNA from 1 species
AACGAACGCUGGCGGCGUGUUUAAGACAUGCAAGUCGAACGGGGUGAAGUUGUAGCAAUACCGCUUCAUCCAGUGGCGCACGGGUGCGUAACACGUGAGUUACAUGCCCUGCAGUGGGGAAUAGCCCGCCGAAAGGCGGAUUAAUACCCCAUGGUUCCCGCGAGGGUAAAGGUGGCCGCAAGGCUGCCGCUGCAGGAUUGGCUCGCGGCCUAUCAGCUUGUUGGCGGGGUAACGGCCCACCAAGGCGACGACGGGUACCUGGUCUGAGAGGAUGAUCAGGCACACUGGAACUGAGACACGGUCCAGACACCUACGGGUGGCAGCAGUCGAGAAUAAUUCACAAUGGGCGAAAGCCUGAUGGUGCAACGCCGCGUGGAGGAUGAAGGUCUUCGGAUUGUAAACUCCUGUCAUCGGGGAGUAAGACCUGGGCGUGAAUAGCGCACAGGGUUGAUAGUACCCGAAGAGGAAGGGACGGCUAACUUCGUGCCAGCAGCCGCGGUAAAAC